rnacentral:tRNA from 1 species
GGGCCGGUAGAUCAGCCAGGAAGAUCGUUCCCUUGGCAUGGGAGAGGGCGGGGGUUCAAAUCCCCCCCGGUCCA